GUUGCUAUACGUGGACAGAAUUGAUGGAUUUUGAUUGUAGAGCUUGGAGUUAGCUUGAUUUCUGGAUUUGGAGGACUUCGGUCGAUCCAGCAGGUUGUUCCGCAGCUGAGGGGGUUCUUUGCUGCCAGGGAUUAACUCUCGAGGUAGGUUACAUCGGUUUAUUCCUAAGCACAGUAUUAGUCGACAUGUAUGAUUUUCAGUUUUUAUAAAUCAUGUUGUAGCUCAUUUUCGUUGAUUGUAUCAUGGAUAAAAUCAGCAUGGAGGACAUGAUUAGUAAACCAGAAAUAUACAUGUUGGACUUAGAAAUUGACUUAGGAGAAAACCAGCGAUUUGGACCUGUCACUUGUUUACACUACCUGAUUUAGCUUUAGAAGCCGUUGUACUUUUGUAUUGUCGCAGUAUCGAGGCGACGGAUACCCCAGGUAGUUUAGCUCUCUGUUACGCUCGUGCUGGGAUGCCGAGUGUAUUUUUUUCAGUAGCGUUCAGGCUGUUCCGGACUGUUGGAUGCCGUCGGGGGUGACGAUGGACCCAUAUCGCCUUUUUGGCGUUAGAUUGUGCCGAGGGCACGUGACUGUUGGUUGUUAGACCAGUUAGUAUCGGUUACUUGGACUUUGGCUUGAGAGAGCCUAUUGAGCUCGACAGAGAUACGCUGCAUACUCGGUUGGGUAGCUCUCCCGAGUGCCACUCCGGAGAUGGGCACUGUGCUUUCGCGUUGGUGUCGUGCAUGCCGGUUUGACUUGCUCCCCUCGGACUGGUUAGUGUGGAGGUAGCUGGAUAGUCUCAACUGGGCGGGACGGGUGUGUUCACAGUCCCUGGGGCGGAUAUGUUUACAGUCCCUAAAGAAAUUUGGUCGGAAUUCACAUUACUACAAUAGGUCAGAGUAGAGCAUAAUAGUGUAAUAAAUGAUAGCUGUAGAUUUUAUUCCAGCAUUUACUGCUACUUUUGUUCCCUUCUGUAGACUUAGUGGGUGGACCGAUGUUGUUGAGGGCGGCACCCACUGAGGACUACUUGUUUUUACAGUAGUUCUCACGCCCUGUUGUUACCCCGUUUUUGCAGAGCCAUCGUCUUCGGCUGCUGCUGUUGCUGAUCAGGAUCGAGGCAAGGGCGUCGCGAGUUAGAACCCUACCCGUCGUGCCGAGCUAGAGGUGCCCUACAGCAGGUAGUUGUUUUGGCUGGAGUUCAUGUACAUACAGCUUUUAACUCGCCAGCGCGAGUAAAUUUUUGUACCGUGGUUCUGAUGUAUGUAUAUGGAAUUCAGUUUAUUUUUUUUUACUGAUUCUUCUAGCAACUCUAUACUACUGUUUGUAGUAUUGUAUGUUUUACAGGUACAGCUAUCGCUUCAUAUACAAAAAAAAUUUCUUUGUAUACGACGGAUUUGUCGGCGUGCCCGGGGAACGUGUAAUCCGGGGCACGACAUUACGAAUAAAAUUUUAGUUUUUUUCGAUAUCGUUUACUUAGUAAAUAAAUUAUGUCAAAAUGGACGGUGGAAAUUGAAUAUUCUUUAAAAUUUGAGCAUAGGACUUUUAAAUUCAAGAUCAAGAAUGUUGAAGUUUAAAAUUUAAAUUUAAAUUUAAAAAUUAAAAAUUUUAAACUUAAAUUUAAAAAUUUAAAUGAUAACAACGGAAAUAUAGAAAUAUAUUUUUAUAUACUUUUAUCUAAAUUUUAGUAAAUAAUAAUGAACAGUCUAUUUAAAAUAUUUUAAAAAUUACAUAAAUUUAUCGCCGCGAAGCGUGGGCCUGCACAAGUGUAAAAAAUAGAAUGGUUCCGUAUAAGAGAGGUUAAUACUACAGACGUGGAAUAGGAUUUUGAAAGAAGAAAAGGGGGAGAGAGGAAGAAAGGAAUAGGUGGUAAAUUUGUUUUCAAAACAUUUUUAAAAUUUUUGCAAAUGGAAAAUCCCUUUCUUUCACUCACGCGUUUUUACUCUUACCAUCUCUCCACUCGAUCUCUCACGCUUUUUUCCUCCCCCCAUCUACUCUCUCUCUCUCUCUUAGGGAGACGACGAGGACUAGGAGGUGAGGCCGCGGACCGCGA
rnacentral:lncRNA from 1 species